rnacentral:rRNA from 1 species
AUUGAACGCUGGCGGCAUGCCUUACACAUGCAAGUCGAACGGUAACAGGUUAAGCUGACGAGUGGCGAACGGGUGAGUAAUGCAUCGGAACGUGCCCGGUCGUGGGGGAUAACGCAGCGAAAGCUGCGCUAAUACCGCAUACGAUCUGAGGAUGAAAGCGGGGGACCGUAAGGCCUCGCGCGAUCGGAGCGGCCGAUGUCAGAUUAGGUAGUUGGUGGGGUAAAGGCUCACCAAGCUGACGAGCUGUAGCUGGUCUGAGAGGACGACCAGCCACACUGGGACGGAGAAAAGGCCCAGACUCCGACGGGAGGCAGCAGUGGGGAAUGUUGGACAAUGGGCGCAAGCCUGAUCCAGCAAUGCCGCGUGCAGGAAGAAGGCCUUCGGGUUGUAAACUGCUUUUGUACGGAGCGAAAAGGCUCUCUCUAAUACAGGGGGCUCAUGACGGUACCGUAAGAAUAAGCACCGGCUAACUACGUGCCAGCAGCCGCAGUAA